GGAGAGAUGGCAGAGUGGCCUAAUGCGCUGGUUUGCUAAACCGGUAUACGGGUAAAACUGUAUCGGGGGUUCGAAUCCCCCUCUCUCCGCCA
rnacentral:tRNA from 2 species